AGCUCCACUAGCGUACACUAACGUUGUUGCAGUUAAAAAGCUCGUAGUUGGAUUUCUGAGAGCGCGGGACGGUCGACCCCAUUGUGGGACGUACCUGACAGGCACUCUCAUCUGGCAGAACACCUCCUCUGCACUUGAGUGUGUGGAGUUGGCACGUCUGCCCAUUUACUUUGAGAAAAACAGAGUGUUCAAAGCAAGCGUAUUGCGUUUGUAUGAGUUAGCAUGGGAUAAUACAAGAGGACUUUGGUCUUCUUUUGUUGGUUGUUCGAGGACCGAAGUAAUGAUUGAUAGGGAUGGUUGGGGGUCUCGGUAUUCUCGAGCGAGCGGUGAAAUGCUUGGACCUCGGGAAGACCAACUGCUGCGAAGGCGUUGACCAAGGACAUACCCUUUAAUCAAGAAC
rnacentral:rRNA from 1 species